GCCUGGGUGGCUCAGUCGGUUAAGCAUCCGACUUCGGCUCGGGUCAUGAUCUCGUGGUUUGUGGGUUCGAGCCCCGCAUCAGGCU
rnacentral:tRNA from 1 species